GAGAGACGCAGCUAUUUAAAGGUAAGAAGGACAAUACAAUAUUUCUCCUCACUCUGUCGAAUUCUGGUCGGAACUGGAUCACACACCUUCAGCAUCCUGGCCAUGACCCUCGGGCUGUUAAACUUACCAAGAGCAAGCGCUGAAAUCCCCUGGGAAUGCAUCACAGAGGGGACCCCCGGACGGCAUGCACUGCACACCACUUCCACUCCAAAACCUUCCCCAGGUCUUGAGAAAGGCCAGGCCUGGGUAGGAAGGAGUCUUCUCUCUCCAGAGGUCAAACUGAGAUACAAUCAUGGGGCCCUCUCUGCCUGCGUGUGCCCUCCUGAGAAAAACAAGUCUCCCCUGCCUACUGCCUGUUCUCCACAGUGAAUCUGUGGCUACACAAACACAUGUCUGUGCCUCCUUUGGUUCCUGCCCCGGAAUCCUGAGAACUUGGGCCUCGUAGACAUGACCUACCAGCUGAGCCUCUCUCCAUUCUGGAUGACUGGGGGAAUGGAAUGGGGGAGCACUUCCUCACGGCUGGGGCUGCCUCUGCUACAUGUGAACUUGACCUGUGCCCAUGACCCAGGCUCCAUCCAGCACAAGCACCGUCUGCCGCCAUCAUGCUCUCUGGGCACAGAACCUCUUUGAGCCCAGUCUUCUCACAGGAGAUGAAAGAUGAUGCUCUCCAGCUGGUCUCACAAAGGCCAAUGGGACCAGUUCCCUAGCAAGUAGUCCAGCCUAGUUCCUGGUAAUCCUCAUCCUUGAGUGUCCCUCCCAAGUCCUAGGACCCUGACCUCCGCUCCCAGCCUGCCCGGAGCCGUGGCUACCUGGACCUUUUCUGAACCUGGGCAAGAGGAUCUAGAAGCAAGAAGCACACCUAGUGCCCAGAUUUUGGUUUCUCACGGGUUCUCCAUCAGAAGGAAUGAGAGCUCUUGGAGAAAUGACUGAUGAUAGGACGGAGGGUGUCCAUGAGGCCAGAAACAGUUUGCUGCCAGUACAGAGCCAGACACAUUGACGUUGCUUUAAAAAAAAUACUGAAGAAACGUACAAAUAUAUCCUACAGAAUGAGGUUUAUACAGAAGUUAUCACAAAGAGGACAUUUUACAGGAACAUUUUUAAUAGUCAAUUGGGAGAUCAUUCCUCUUAUGGAUCACCUAUGGACACUCGUAUCUGCUGUGGUGAUGAAUCUGUUUGUCUCCCCAUAUCAUACUCUUAGAAAAAUACGUAUGAGAAUUUAGAAGUGCAAAAAAGAUGAAUUCUGCUCUAAGAAAUCCUAAUGUGUGGGAAAUCUGUGUUAAUAAAACAAAUUAGGAAGCAGUUGUUUUCUGAGCCUGGUUUCUCUUGCCUUGAUUUAUAGACUAUUAAUUA